rnacentral:rRNA from 1 species
GCUGGCCGGGUCGCUCUGGCAGUGCACGUAGACAGCUUUCAUCCAAUACCCUGUGAANCNUUGGCCUCUUGCUAGCUUCGGCCAGCAGAGGAUUUUACACACACUCGAAUGUAAUGAAAUUAUUGUUGUGCACCGCACUACUAUACAACUUUCAACAACGGAUCUCUUGGCUCUCGCAUCGAUGAAGAACGCAGCGAAAUGCGAUAAGUAAUGUGAAUUGCAGAAUUCAGUGAAUCAUCGAAUCUUUGAACGCACCUUGCACCCUUUGGUAUUCCGAAGGGUAUGCUCGUUUGAGUGUCAUUGUACUCUCACACUUCCGAUUGUUUGGAUCGGGAGCGGUGGACUUGGGUGUUGCUGCUUUACUGUGGCUCACCUUAAAUGCAGUAGUGCACCUUUCGGUUGGACAUAGUACGGCGUGAUAAGUGUCUUCGCCGGCACCUCCUC